UUCAGGACCGCCAAAACCCAGGCCAAAAACCACACCUUCAACCACCCGGAACACCGCCGGCAACAACCGUUGCCGCUCCGCCUCUACCUCCACCUCCGCUAGUCUUUACAUAAAUCCAAAAAUCCUUUCAUAUAAAGCCAAUAUAAGUUUCUGUAUUAAGAGGAAACUUUACAAGUCGCUAACGGCAUGAUUGUGUAAAAGGAAGUACAGCAGUAAUUAUAUUUGAACAAUUGGAGACAACGCGGCGUCGUAUUAAAUACCGGGACCGAUGAGGAUUUUUCAAGUUUCAUUCACUGUUUUGCUGUUUGUCUUCUUCAGUAGUCCCAAUGAACAACAAAUGGCAAGAGCAUUCACGGGGACUUAUGGAAUUAAUUAUGGUAGAAUUGCAGAUAACAUCCCUUCACCUGAUGAAGUUGUGACAUUGCUUAGGGCUGCAAAGAUAAAGAAUGUAAGAAUUUACGAUGCAGAUCACACUGUUCUUAAUGCCUUUAAAGGGGCUGGGCUUGAGUUGGUGGUUGGACUUCCAAAUGGAUUCGUUAAAGAUAUGAGUACAAAUGCAGAUCAUGCUGUGACUUGGGUUAAAGAUAAUAUUAUGGCGUUCCUCCCAGAUACAAACAUAGUUGGGAUCGCUGUGGGGAAUGAGGUUUUGGGAGGAAGUGAUUCUGACCUCGCAGUAGCUUUAUUGGGUGCCGUGAAAAAUAUUCACAAUGCCACGAAAGAGCUUGGGAUAGACAAGUCAGUUCAGAUUACAACUGCUCACUCUCAGGCUGUUUUUGAAAAUUCAUUUCCUCCCUCUUCGUGUAUUUUCAAAGAUGGUGUUGCUCAACUGAUGAAGCCUCUUUUGGAGUUCUUCUCUCAAAUUGGGUCCCCUUUCUGUCUAAAUGCCUAUCCCUUUCUGGCUUAUACAUAUAAUUCAGACAAAAUUGACAUAAAUUACGCUCUAUUUCAGAAAAAUAAGGGAAUAGUUGAUAAUAAAACUGAUCUUCAUUAUGAUAACCUGCUCGAUGCUCAGAUUGAUGCAGCUUAUGCUGCUUUGGAGGAUGCUGGAUUUAAAAAGAUGGAAGUUAUUAUUACAGAGACAGGUUGGGCUUCUCAUGGGGACCAGAACGAACCUGCCGCUACACCAGACAAUGCAAGAACAUAUAAUUAUAAUUUGCGUAAAAGGUUGGCCAAGAGGAAAGGUACUCCACUGAGGCCAAAGAGGAUGUUGAAAGCCUAUAUAUUUGCAUUGUUUAAUGAGAAUUCAAAACCUGGUGCACUUUCUGAGAAAAACUUUGGACUGUUUAAAGCCGAUGGGAGUAUCUCCUCUGACAUUGGGUUUCCAGCACUUAAAUCUUCAUCAGCUACAUCUUCUCUUUUGUCUCAUAAGGAAUUUAGAGUUCAAAUGUUGCUUGGAUCCCAUUUAUCAGUAUUCGCAGUUUCGGCUGCAGUCUUACUUUUUUAAAGAUUAUGACUUCAAAUGCUCUGCUAUAUUCAACACGGACCCUUGUGGUUCUAGGUAGGAUACAGUCAUACAGUCCAAAAUACAUUAUAUUUCUGAAUACUGUCCAUCACGGACCCUUGCGGUUCAGUGCUUUAGGAAUAUACAUUAUAUUUCAGAAUACUCUACACAUCAGAAGUUGCUGAUUGUUUUUACUUAUCUCAGAAUUUGUAUCUAUUUUUCUGAAAUAAAUCUUAUGCUGGUUUAUUUGUUCUUCA